rnacentral:rRNA from 1 species
UACGGGGGGUGCGAGCGUUGUCCGGAAUCACUGGGCGUAAAGGGUGCGUAGGUGGCGUCGUAAGUCGGGUGUGAAAUCUCGGGGCUUAACUCCGAAACUGCAUUCGAUACUGCGGUGCUUGAGGACUGGAGAGGAGACUGGAAUUUACGGUGUAGCAGUGAAAUGCGUAGAGAUCGUAAGGAAGACCAGUGGCGAAGGCGGGUCUCUGGACAGUUCCUGACACUGAGGCACGAAGGCCAGGGGAGCAAACGGG